GCCAGUGUGGUGUAGAGGUCUGAGCAUUGGACUAUGACUCUGGAGAUCAGGGUUCAAAUCCCUGACAGCCA
rnacentral:tRNA from 1 species